AACGAACGCUGGCGGCAUGCCUAACACAUACAAGUCGAACGAGACCUUCGGGUCUAGUGGCGCACGGGUGCGUAACGCGUGGGAACCUGCCCCUAGGUUCGGAAUAACUCCCCGAAAGGGGUGCUAAUACCGGAUAAUGUCUUCGGACCAAAGAUUUAUCGCCUUUGGAUGGGCCCGCGUUGGAUUAGCUAGUUGGUAGGGUAAAAGCCUACCAAGGCGACGAUCCAUAGCUGGUCUGAGAGGAUGAUCAGCCACACUGGGACUGAGACACGGCCCAGACUCCUACGGGAAGCAGCAGUGGGGAAUAUUGGACAAUGGGCGAAAGCCUGAUCCAGCAAUGCCGCGUGAGUGAUGAAGGCCUUAGGGUUGUAAAGCUCUUUUACCCGGGAUGAUAAUGACAGUACCGGGAGAAUAAGCUCCGGCUAACUCCGUG
rnacentral:rRNA from 1 species